AGUCAUAUGCUUGUCUCAAAGAUUAAGCCAUGCAUGUCUCAGUACAAGCCAAAUUAAGGUGAAACCGCGAAAGGCUCAUUAAAUCAGUUAUGGUUCCUUAGAUCGUACCACACUUACUUGGAUAACUGUGGUAAUUCUAGAGCUAAUACAUGCAAACAGAGUUCCAACCGGAGACGGAAGGAGCGCUUUUAUUAGAUCAAAACCAAUCGGUGGCGGGUUCGCUCGUCAUCGUACAACUUGGUGACUCUGAAUAACUUUUUGCUGAUCGCACGGUCUUGCACCGGCGACGCAUCUUUCAAAUGUCUGCCUUAUCAACUGUCGAUGGUAGGUUCUGCGCCUACCAUGGUUGUAACGGGUAACGGGGAAUCAGGGUUCGAUUCCGGAGAGGGAGCCUGAGAAACGGCUACCACAUCCAAGGAAGGCAGCAGGCGCGCAAAUUACCCACUCCCGGCACGGGGAGGUAGUGACGAAAAAUAACGAUACGGGACUCAUCCGAGGCCCCGUAAUCGGAAUGAGUACACUCUAAACUCUUUAACGAGGAUCAAUUGGAGGGCAAGUCUGGUGCCAGCAGCCGCGGUAAUUCCAGCUCCAAUAGCGUAU
rnacentral:rRNA from 1 species